GACGAACGCUGGCGGCGUGCUUAACACAUGCAAGUCGAACGGAAAGGCCCUGCUUUUGUGGGGUGCUCGAGUGGCGAACGGGUGAGUAACACGUGAGUAACCUGCCCUUGACUUUGGGAUAACUUCAGGAAACUGGGGCUAAUACCGGAUAGGAGCUCCUGCUGCAUGGUGGGGGUUGGAAAGUUUCGGCGGUUGGGGAUGGACUCGCGGCUUAUCAGCUUGUUGGUGGGGUAGUGGCUUACCAAGGCUUUGACGGGUAGCCGGCCUGAGAGGGUGACCGGCCACAUUGGGACUGCGAUACAGCCCAGACUCCUACGGGAGGCAGCAGUGGGGAAUAUUGCACAAUGGGCGGAAGCCUGAUGCAGCAACGCCGCGUGCGGGAUGACGGCCUUCGGGUUGUAAACCGCUUUCGCCUGUGACGAAGCGUGAGUGACGGUAAUGGGUAAAGAAGCACCGGCUAACUACGUG
rnacentral:rRNA from 1 species